CAAAGGGAUAUACAAAGGGAGUAUAAUAAUAAUAAUAAGACCCGGACAGUACAAACAAUAUGACUUGAUGAUACAUAUGUAACUUGAUGUGCCAAAUUUCUGCUGUGUCUGGAUAAAAAGCUCAUUGUUUAUGUGCAUUUAAGAUGGCUACAGGAUGGGGGCGCUGUCUGACAAAUUUGCCAAAUUUGACAAAGCUGCUCUCUGAAAACGGCUGAGAAAAAAACAGUGCCAUGUAGUUAUAAGUUUAGCAAUAUAUGCUGUUCAAAUCAAAAUCAAAGGCACAGACACUAAACCUGGACAUAGGAGUCUGCAAUAUUUUCCUCAAAACACUCCUAAGAUCAUUCACUCGACUGUGUGCACAGGAGAGAUGCCACUCACCGCCAGACGGGCUUGUCUUUCCUUUUCUUUUUCUGCACGGAUUCUUUGCUGUUCGGCUCUUUCUGCACGACGCUUCUCCUGCACACAGGUCAUGUGGAAAUCAGCAAUCAGAUACUGGUCAGACUUACUUGCUCUGGGGAAAUAGAGUGGAAAUAGAGUACGUACAAUCCUGUUGACCAGAGCAAUAAGCUCCUCCUCGUCCUUCUUUCUCUGGAUGAAAUGAGCUUCAAUCAGGGACUGCAGUUCAGAUAAAUCUUUCUCCUGACGCUUUCUGUGGAUGUCCUGUUGUACAUACACAAAUAAAUAUGUUAGCAUCA